CUUGAACGCUGGCGGCAGGCCUAACACCUGCAAGUCGACCGAGUGGCGGACGGGUGAGUGAUGUCUGGGAAACUGUCGGAUGGAGGGGGAUCACUGCUGGAAACGGUAGCUAAUACCGCAUACCAUCCGAUGUGCCCAGAGGGGAUUAGCUUGCUGGUGUGGUAACGGGUCACCACGGCGACGAUCCCUACCUGGUCUGAGAGGAUGACCAGCCACACUGGAACUGAGCCACGGUCCAGGCUCCUACGGGGGGCGGCAGUGGGGAAUAUUGCACAAGGGGCGCCAGCCUGAGGCAGGCAUGGCGCGUGGCUGAAGACGGCCUUCGGGUUGUAAAGUACUUUCAGUGGGGAGGCGUUACCGGUAGAGGAAGCACCGGCUAACCCCGUGCCAGCAGCCGCGGUAAUUC
rnacentral:rRNA from 1 species